CGUAACGGGAAUUUACGAUUCUCGUUGACGCGUAUUCUAACGACCGCGUCUCCCCGCGAUAGCUCGAAUUUUACAGUGUUUGAGAAAAAUGCCGUUUUAUUCCAUAGAAAUGAUAUAUCUACGUUUUAGCCUCAUAUGCACCGAGUGCACACAGAAAUACACUAAAUGCAUAUAAUUUUGCACUAUAUACAUUCCAUUUAGUUCCCAACACUCGGAAUGCUUCUGUUUCCCAGCACUUUUAGUUUCAGAAUUGAGUUUUCAAGAGACUACUAUUACAAAAAGAUGUAAAUCGUUCAACUGGUCAAAUGAUCAGUCGUGGUAGAUAAGGCACAUUACAUAUCUUUUUUUCAGAAAUCAAACAAUAAGAAAAGAAGUGAACAAUAACAAAUUCAUUAUACGUACAUUAUAAGAAAAGUCGUGAAGUUAAAUGACGGCAUGAUAACGUACGUAGGAAAUUCUAAACGAAAUUUAAAAAACAGUUAUUGAUCGCGAUAUCAAGAAUGGCGAUAUUGGUUUCUUAAACUAUAUACGCUUAGGACAUUCGUUGAAAUCGAAUCCCGUCGUCGUAAUGGUCCCCAUGGAACGAACAAGCGAAUUCAUAAUGAGACUUUCUAUUCCGUCAACGAUAUCGGAUAAUUGCGUCUCUACUGUCGAUCUUCGAAAUAAGUCUCGAGGACUAUCGAGGAGGUUGAUAGCCCCUCUCUGCCCUUUGAAUGGAAUAUUACUCUCGACGGUCGAAACAAUCCGUUUCGUUCGAUGCAUUCACGCGCGAUCGACCAACUACUGCAACUAGGAAGAAUCACCCUUUUUGCACAUCUUUCCUCUUUCUGUUUAUUUUAAAUACUUGGGUUGGAAUAACGUCUCACACGUGAUAGCUACUUUGGGUUAAAAGUACAUUGUGCGUGUCUCACUCCGUGAUCUGACAUUCUUAUUUUGAUAACGAUUUUAGUAAUUCUGUGGAAUAGGGAACCCUAGCAAUUUCGACGACUUUGAAAUAUGUUGUCAAAAUCAAGAUUCUGAGUUACUUGUUCCUAUGCACAUAAUCGUUGCCCAGUUUUAGUUUUCAGGAUAUAGAAUAAUAAUUUCUGUUGAUAUUACAUAUCUAUACUAUAUUUAUUACAUUUUUGACUAUCUGAAAAUUAGAAUAAAGUACAACAUUCUAUAUAUUUACCGUUUCGUCGAAAAUUAUUUCACUUUAGCGUUAUUGGUUACCUAGCGGCACCUGGAUAUUAUUAUUCAAUAUGAUUAUCAUCAAUGAGUUAAAUUUAGGUUAGACUAUAUAAAAAUGCGGCUACCGUCAGGUCACUGUCUACGCCGGAAUGUAGCGUAAUCCUGACAUUGCCACGGUUUUACUUAUUUUUGUCGUCAUUAUCAGUUAUCAUUGAAAUCUAAUUGUAAUUAGAUCAUGUUAAAAUAAUGCCGCGCAAGAGAAAUACAUAGUAAUGUCAGUGACUUUGUACUCUAUCCGAACGUGAUAUACGUAGUAUCUUUUUUUAAUUCAUAUUCAUUUCAAAUUAUUUAAAUAUAGUUUUGGUGUAAACUGUUCAUUUUUUCAUUAUUACUAGAUAAUCAUAAAUUCAUUCAAAAUGUUCAUAGUCACGCAAUAAUUUUGUUUGGUAGAUUAUCUAAGAAUCGAUCCCUUGAUCUUUAAUACUUUCUUUUUCCUCUGGAGAGCUUGAACUGGAAAUUAUUAUUGACCAUAGUUUCGAAAACCUACAAAGUUCAAUGAGUUGCCUCUAAUAGAGAUUAGACGUUUACGAAUAUAUCAUUACAAGAAAGAACUAAAGUUAUAUAACAUAAUAGAGCUACAUUGCAAAAUAAUUUUAAACAUUGUUUGCGUUCACUAUGGUCACUAUAUUCAGGUUCGCUGUUCAUUAUAUUAUACAUGUGUACAUAUAAGAACACUUAUCCUUAAAAUAUUUUGUUUUGUUCUAUAUAAGGAGUUAUUCUAUUUUAGUGUUUUAUAUAUUUGUUUCACAUUGCUAAUUUUUAUCGUGUAAAUCAUAAAAUAUUAAAUAAAAACGAAAUAUAUGUAUGCAUAUCCCAAUAUUAAGUAUUCUAAUGUAAAUUACUAUCGUCGUGGCUCGCUAUGAUCCAACGAUAACAGUUAUGGGUAAACCAUUAUUUUACACGAAGAUAUUAAUUCAUUUAUUUAUCUCGCAUAUGCAAAUUAUUUUCGCUAAAUAGGAAAUAAUCGGCUCUCAAUGAACUGAUGGAGAAGACGUGAGUUAACGUGAAUAAUAUUUUCAAAAUUGUUAUUUUUCUAAUGUAUUUAUAAACUUCAGCAUCAAGUUGUAGACUACAAUGAAAUUAUGGAAGAAUUUAAGAACCUGUAGCAUUCAUAAGAGUGGACAAUAUCUGUCCAGUUAACAAAGAUCUGUGAAUCAAUGCUGUCAGAGUAAUUUAAGAUUUUCUGCUCUGCUAACCAAGGAAGUGACUUGCUUCCAUUCAUUAAACUUAUGUAAAUAAGGAUCAUGUAUAUGCAAUUUUGCCGUGUAAUGAGCGAAAAUUUGAUGAAUGAAAAAUAUGAAAGACAGUAAAAUUAUUUUGAAGGUCAGUAAAAUUCUUUUUUAUUUUCUAUAAUAACAGAUUGUAUUGUAUGAUAGAAAUGUGUAAGUAAAAAAUAGAUAUAGGUAUCAAUUACGUAUAAAUUGUGAAAAUAUUACAUUUUUGGUGUGUGUUAUUUUUUUGUCGCGCAAUGUACCAUGUCAUAUCACGAAAUCAUCUACUUGUAACGUAUAAUAUUAUCUCUAACUGGUAUCAUUCAGCCAUUAGGAUCCAUACUAUAUAUAACAAUUUAAGAUAAUUUAAUUUUAUUAUUAAUCUAUAUCACG